UACCAGGUGACCUUGAGCGGUGGGUCACGCUACACCACCAGUCCCAGAGGUGGGUCACGCUACACCACCAGUCCCAGAGGUGGGUCACGCUACACCACCAGUCCCAGAGGUGGGUCACAUUACACCACCAGUCCCAGAGGUGAGCGGUGAGUCACAUUACACCACCAGUCCCAGAGGUGGGUCACAUUACACCACCAGUCCCAGAGGUGAGUCACGUUACACCACCAGUCCCAGAGGUGGGUCACGUUACACCACCAGUCCCAGAGGUGGGUCACGUUACACCACCAGUCCCAGAGGUGGGUCACGUUACACCACCAGUCCCAGAGGUGGGUCACGUUACACCACCAGUCCCAGAGGUGGGUCACGUUACACCACCAGUCCCAGAGGUGGGUCACGUUACACCACCAGUCCCAGAGGUGGGUCACGUUACACCACCAGUCCCAGAGGUGGGUCACGUUACACCACCAGUCCCAGAGGUGGGUCACGUUACACCACCAGUCCCAGAGGUGGGUCACGUUACACCACCAGUCCCAGAGGUGGGUCACGUUACACCACCAGUCCCAGAGGUGAGCGGUGGGUCACGUUACAACACCAGUCCCAGAGGUGGGUCACGUUACACCACCAGGCCCAGAGGUGAGCGGUGGGUCACGUUACAACACCAGUCCCAGAGGUGAAGUCAAGUAAAC